GUCCAACCCCUCCCAUCUGAGAGAGCUGGACCUGAGUAACAACAACCAGCUGCAGGAUUCAGGAGUGAAGCAUCUGUGUGGUUUCCUGGAGAGUCCAGGAUGUAAACUUGAAACUCUGUUUUUGAAGGGCUGUGGUUUGUCAGAGAUCAGCUGUGAUUAUCUGGCAGCAGCACUGAAGUCCAACCCCUCCCAUCUGAGACUGCUGGACGUGGGCUACAACAAGAACCUGCAGGAUUCAGGAGUGAAGCAUCUUUGUGGUUUCCUGGAGAGUCCAGGAUGUAAACUUGAAACUCUGAGAUUGAAGUACUCUCGUUUGUCAAAGAUCAGCUGUGAUUAUCUGGCAGCAGCACUGAAGUCCAACCCCUCCCAUCUGAGAGAUGUGGACCUGUGGGACAACAACCUGACGUAUCCAGAUGUGAAGCAGCUGUCUGAUCUUCAGCAGAGUCCAGACUACAGACUGGAGACUCUGGGGUGGGGAUGAUGAUGGUAAACAGGACGGUGUGUGUGCUGAGAGAGGAGCAGCUGUGUCCUGAUGA